rnacentral:lncRNA from 1 species
CUCUUGACCCCGGAACCCAUAAUGUGUGGAACUCGUGAUCAGAGAAUCCUGAUUCUCGAUCACUGAGUCUCAAACAUGAAAGAUUCUACACCAGCCAUCAGAUCAGAUAGGAACCUCUAAUGUGUGUGACCCCGCAGGUUCGAACCUAAGCCGGUAGCAAUGGUACCCGAUAAGAAUCAAUUUUUGUACUAAUCGAAGUGACCAUCUAGCAAUGGUACCCGACAUCCAGA